CAGUCGCCGCGGUAAUACGGAGGGAGCUAGCGUUAUUCGGAAUUACUGGGCGUAAAGCGCACGUAGGCGGCUUUGUAAGUAAGAGGUGAAAGCCCGGAGCUCAACUCCGGAACUGCCUUUUAGACUGCAUCGCUUGAAUCCAGGAGAGGUGAGUGGAAUUCCGAGUGUAGAGGUGAAAUUCGUAGAUAUUCGGAAGAACACCAGUGGCGAAGGCGGCUCACUGGACUGGUAUUGACGCUGAGGUGCGAAAGCGUGGGGAGCAAACAGGAUUAGAUACCCCGGUAGUCCCUGUCUCUUAUAC
rnacentral:rRNA from 1 species